UUGAAGUUACGAAAUAAUGACUGGAAUAUAAUAGUAUGCAAUUAGCAGCUUACUUCCUAUAUUUUUUUCUUCUUAGUGGAAGAGAGGCCAUGAUCAAUUUAGUAUCUUGUCCUAGAUCAGAGAUUUCGGCACAGGUUAUAUAUCUGUGACUAAUUUUAAGAACGACGACUGAGAGAAAUACAGAAAGCAGGAUUAAACAUAGAAGCUGAGCUGCAGUGAUGUUGCAGCAGAGGCGUCAGCCAAUCCAUUUGUAAGCACUGAGCCUUGGUGGCCUUUCAGAGUUUUCCACUUCAGAAAAGAGGAGAGAAAAUACUGGAGAGGGAUUCAGCUGUAUCCCAUUUAACCAAUAUUCCUGACAUCUGACAAAAUGAUUGCCUCACUCCUGAAGAAGUUUCUGGAUGGUGAAUCACAUCAUUACUAUG
rnacentral:lncRNA from 1 species